AAGUCGUAACAAGGUUUCCGUAGGUGAACCUGCGGAAGGAUCAUUAACACGUUAUCCACGUAUAAACACCACACUGAACGAUGCUCCCUGUUAGAAGACUUCAAGGAUAUCGGUGCUUGACUAUUGUGGGCGGAUGCUGAGCUUUACGGCUUGGUGUUUGCACGUCAUGCUUGCUGGUUAUGUCGACCCCGGGGCCGAGGGCGAAUCCGAGACACUUUCUUUCAGGCUUAUUGAUUCUCUUGUCCGGAGGCGAAAGCCGAUCCCAACCACUUUGGGCGACGAGACGACACCAUACCCCUUUCACCCUAUUUUACUAAUUUGACUGAUUAUACAUUCUUCGGGAGAAAUCCUGUUGAAUCUCUAAGAUUUAUCUUAACUAAGCACAACUCUUAGCAAUGGAUAUCUUGGUUCUC
rnacentral:misc_RNA from 1 species